rnacentral:rRNA from 1 species
CCUACGGGUGGCAGCAGGGAGGAAUAUUGGUCAAUGGGCGCGAGCCUGAACCAGCCAAGUAGCGUGAAGGCUGACUGCCCUACGGGUGGUAAACUUCUUUUAUAAAGGAAUAAAGUGAGGCACGUGUGCCUUUUUGUAUGUAAUUUAUGAAUAAGGAUCGGCUAACUCCGUGCCAGCAGCCGCGGUAAUACGGAGGUUCCGAGCGUUGUACGGAUUUAUUGGGUUUAAAGGAAGCGUAGAUGGGUUGUUAAGUCAGUUGUGAAAGUUUGCGGCUCAACCGUAAAAUUGCAAUUGAUACUGGCAGUCUUGAGUAAAGUUGAGUUAGGCGGAAUUCGUGUUGUAGCGGUGAAAUGCUUAGAUAUCACGAAGAA